CCUACGGGGGGCAGCAGUGAGGAAUAUUGGUCAAUGGGCGGGAGCCUGAACCAGCCAAGCCGCGUGAGGGAAGAAGGUACAGCGUAUCGUAAACCUCUUUUGUCGGAGAACAAAACCCGGGACGUGUCCCGGACUGCGUGUAUCCGAAGAAAAAGCAUCGGCUAACUCCGUGCCAGCAGCCGCGGUAAUACGGAGGAUGCGAGCGUUAUCCGGAUUUAUUGGGUUUAAAGGGUGCGUAGGCGGUCCGUUAAGUCAGCGGUAAAAUUGCGGGGCUCAACCCCGUCGAGCCGUUGAAACUGGAAGAU
rnacentral:rRNA from 1 species